GGUGGCUCAGUGGUAGAGUGUUUGCCUCACAUGCAUGAGGACCUGGGUUUGAUUCCUCAGCACCA
rnacentral:tRNA from 1 species